UGCCGAAACACCCCUACCCCCCUACUGGGGUGGUGGGAUGGUGUCCAUCUAGGGUGAUGCCUAGGUGCUGACGAGGCAGUCAGUC
rnacentral:hammerhead_ribozyme from 1 species